GGUCUCAAAAGAUGCGCGAGACUUGAAAGUAUAAACCAAAGACCUUAUAAUAUAUUACUAGACCGAAAGCUGCGUGCGCGUUCAGCACAAAACAAAUGAGAUUAGGCUCCGCCUACCGCGAUCAUUUGAAGACAAAAAUAAGCCCUCAUUGACAUUCAUGAGCAUGAAGAUAUUCAUAAUCCGGCCUUUUCAUUGGCUAAGAGCGUCAUUAAUACGCGAUUUCCCCGAUUCUUUGUCAUCGAUACUAGUGGUAUCGUGUUACAGAAUUGAUUAUUCAUUUGACCUCAUUACGUCAUCUAAUUUAUUCAUUCUGAAACUUUUCUUUCUUCACACAAAAUGGACCUACGAACACUCCGGUGAGUACGUAUAAAUUGAUAUAACCACAUGAAUUCAGUGGACUAUUUACACAUUUCACACUGUAUUUUGUGAUCUUAGGUUAUUUCUUUAACAAAUUAGAGGGUUUGCUAUCAUUCUUCUGUAAAAGGAAAGCAGAAUUUGGUCUUUGAAAUUGAAGUUAGAUUGUCAUCGUCGCCCAGUGCAGCCUGUAUGUUGCUUGCAGUGUUGUGAUUAUGCCGUUAUGCCGCUGUGUUAACCACAUGUAUUUUGUACGGGCUCCUAGCCGGCCGGCUGGGCAUCGAGAGAAAAUCGGGGCAUCGAGAGAAAAUCGGGGCGGUUUGGACUAUGGUUCAUCUCCAACAAGGACCAACCCACGAUUGUUUAAAACAAGAAGAAUGAAGCUUCUUUUUGUACACUGUAACGUUAGAUCUAGAUGGAGAUCUGCAUCUAUCUUCAGUAGAUCGAGACUCAGUCAGGAAUAAACUGUGAAUUAAGCUGAGUGUGGAUGAAGAUAAGCCUGUCAUUGAAUCAAUGUGUCAAUUCUCAGUUUCACUUUCAGAUAUAUUUGUUUUGCAUAACUUCAGGCUUCUGCAUUUAGCACCCACCCAUUUUAACUUAUUGUCGCCCAUUUUAACUUAUUGUCAUUUUGCCUCCGACGAAGAUUCUGCUAGGAUCGAAAGCUCAGGCCCCUUUUGACUUUCUAAUUUACUCCAUUGGCAUUGGCUCUCUUUUAUUAGAUAAGCAGUUUUCAGCAGCUUCUUUUUGCCAUUUAUGAAUAUAGUUAGACUCGGUCUUAGAAAUAACAUGCUGCUCAGCAUGUUUGUCUUAUUGAGAUCUAGGAGUAGGACCUAGAUCUAGAUAGAUCUAAUUUCGAACUUGGUUAACAGAGGAUCUAGUCUUGCUUCUUAAUCCUACUUAUUUAGACUUAAUUUACUUUUAUUCAUCGAUGCUAUCUAGCCAUUCUAGGCCUACCUAAUUCAAAUCUAGUCAUCUAACUUAUACUUUCCCAACCCUCGAAACUUACCCUCAGGGCUUAUGAUCUAGGUCUGUAUAAUUUAGGCCUAGAAUAGAUCUAGGUACGUCUGGGCCUAAACGACUCCAUUUACAUGUAGGCCCUAUGAGUAUGACUGUCAGUUUUAGUGGACCAAGGACUAGAUCUAGAUCUACUCUCGGUCAAUAAUGGCAAUGAAGUUUACUUUUAGCCAGGAAUAAAAGUCAGUCAGACAUAAAACAUUUCUAAAUCGAUAUAGAUCUCGGUUUAGAACCGAAGCUUUACUUUCUAGGUCUAGAUAGAUCAAGAGUCCAUCGUUAGUCUAGAUCUAGACCUAAUUUAGAUACAUGAAUGCUGUCGCACAGCACUGAGUCUCGUUGGACUAGAUCUAUACUUUCUUACAAAUAGAUCUAGACCUAGUGCAUGAGAUUAUGAAAUUAUGUUAAAAUCAAAUUAAGAUUCGGAAAUAAAAAGAUGCAGAUUUUUUUUUUUUUUGGGGGGGGGGGCAGACGUGAAAAAAUUUAGAGAAACCUGAAAUUCAGAAAGCGAGGGCCAGAAGCGACCAAUAUUACCUAGGGCCGUUUUGUGCAUUUUCUUAAGUAAAAUUGAAGGAUGUCAUGCAAUUCUUUUUUUGAUGAAGGUUUUCACAUUUCAGCUCCCACCCAAACUUCUCCCCCUAUACAUACGGCCAUGAAAAAGAUCACUUCUUAUUAUUGCUCUCUUUUCUUUUACAAACAGGUUGCGUUUGAAGAACACGAAAAACAGUAGAGGUCUACCUAUAUGGUUAAAGAUGAUCAGUGCAUGCAUCAUUUUGCAGAUUCUCAUCCAGGAUGGUGCAGUUUUACAAUUUCCAUGGAGGUGAUUGAUGAUGAUAAAUAAUUGGUGAAGUAGGCCUAAUAGAACAGUGACUGGACCACAAAAAGAAAUACAACCUACAGCAGUUAUAUGAGACUGGUAUAACAGAUGUUUUCAUUCAAGAAAUCCAACAACUCAAAAUUGAAGAGUCUGACUGAGGAACCACUUGAUGUAGAUGGAAAAGGUUUUUUUUUUCAAGUGCAAUUAAAAAAAUAUAUAUAUAUUAUCACAACCCCAAAUUCAUGACGAAUGAAAUUUCAGGUUGAUUUUCAUUCAAACUGGUUGCAAAAGGAGAAGCUAUAAACAUACAAAUAGGAGCGGCGGAGUGAAGUUGAAAGUGGGGGGGGGGAGGCACAGAGAAAAUGCUGUAUUAUGUGAAAUUUUUAAGAAGUUGCGAGCGAGCAAAAUUUUGACAUUUUUAAAAAGAAAAUCCAAUUUUGUGAUAGAUUCGACAAAAUAUUCAGAAUGAUAUAUUUCACCCUUUUCUUUCCUUUUCUCUUUUUUUUAUUGGUCGUGAUUUUUCUUGGGGGGGGGGGCAAGAGUCCUUCAAGCCCCCCCCCCUCCAUCUGUACAAACUGCUUAUAUACCCCCACUCACAUGAAUUAUUAAACUUAAUGCACAAAGGAUUUCCUUCAUAAGUAUAUUAUAGAAAUGAGAAUAUUGUUUUCUUGUUUCAAAGGGCACUUGACAUGGUGACCAUAAAAUGGGUCCUUCUCAGGUGAAAGGGGCACAGAACAAGUUCUUGAGGAGCACUUUUCUUGGGUAAAAGGGGGCAGUGAUUCGAGAAAGAAGGCAAGUGGGCACUUUUUAACACAUGAAACGGGCCCUCAGAUGAAAGGGCACAGAACACGUUUUGGGGGGGGGGGCAUUUUGGGGUAAAAAAUUGCAUACAAGGAAGAGCACUUGGUAACACCUAAAACAGGUUCUCGUCAGGUGAAAGAACACAGUACACGUUCAUGAGGGGGCAUUUAAUUUUCUUUCAUAAAAAGGCACUUUUUCAGUGUUUCAAAAAGUAGGGGGAACUGUGCCCCCCCCCCCCCCAGGAUCGCUGCCCCAGCAUACAAAAAAACAUUUUCUUUUGGUUCAAAGUAUGGACAUACGCUUAAGAAAAAUGUAAAGCUUAAUCCUCUGAUAAUGUGAUAUUUUUUUCUGGCUAAUUAAUAAAAUUCACUACUAACCAGAAAAUUCCUUUAUGUCUUUCAUUUGUGUUCAUAUAGUAUUUGUACAGAGCUAAAAUGAAAGGGAUUUGGAAUUGGCAAAAUUCAAAAUGAGAUGGAGAUCGAGAGAGGGAAAGAGUGAUGAGAAGUGGGUUGAAAAGAGAUGAGAAAGAAAUGGAGGGGCAAAUAUGAAGAGAAUUUAGAGGGGGGGGGGUGGUAAGAGAGCAAGAAUGUGAGAAGUAGGAACAAAAGCGGUGGAAGAGAAAUAAGACGAGAUUUAUGGAAACCAGGGGCAGAUAACAAGUGGGAAAAGAAGAAGGAAAUAUAUGAAGAGUUUAGUUGCAAAAGGGGUUAGGGGCACUUGUUUUUAUUCUCACUUUAUAUUGCAAUAUUCUUAUGAGAAACUAAAUUGUCAUGAUGUACUACCCUAUCAUGUGAACAGUGAACAUAAAUUGGGUAUAAAAAAAAUCUACCUGUCUUCAAUUUUUUUCUAUAUUCUUC